UGUCAGCUCUCACCUACCAUCUGUAUCUCCAUGUGGUAGUGGACUACCAUGUCAGCCAGCAUUUCCUUUUACUGUACAAAGAGCAUAAAAACUGUCCAAGCGUGUACCAUCCCCUGCUCAUAUUCUUAAGCCCAAUCUGUUAAUGAGUUGGUUCUAUCUACUGAGAAGCAGAACUGGUGGCCAUACCACGAUGCGAUGUUCUGGUAGCCACACAGAGCCCUGCAACGUCACGCUCACAUCUCCUAAGCUGCCUGGAGAGGUUUGGUUUUUGUUAUUUUUCUGAGUCAACAGAAUUCUUUCGGCUGAUUUCCUGAGUGUAUACUUCUAAGCCCAGGAUUAUUUUAGGCACUAAAAUGAUAAUGUGAUUAUGCUUUUCAACACUGUUGGAACUGUAGGGGAAGAAAAACUUCCUUCUCCCCUCUGAGGUUCUGUGACUGGUCUGAGUAUUAAAAUGCUGCAGCCCCCGUCUGUCCUUGUCAUUGUCCUAAGAGCCCUCUCGGGCUCAGCUUCUUUGCUGCAGCUCUCUUUGCUUCCCUAUUCUUUGACUCUAUCCAUCCUCCGCACACUUGCACGCGUUCAUACCCCCCUAUUGCUUCUUGAAGGUAUAAACAUUAUCCUGAUCAUCCUGAGGGCAUGUCUUCCCCAGGACUGACGAUCAGUCCUCUCUCUGAUGGUACUUUGCUCUUCCUAACACAGCAAGUUUACACAGUUGGGGUUUGUUUUAUUUCUUUUAGGAAGCAUGGAGGUGAUGUGAGGGCCACUUUCAUUUGUGAAUACUCUUGUCUGGAGGGGCAUGAACUCUGUCAAGCAUAGAUGGGUGAAUAGAACAUUCAUUAUAGUCACCUUAAAUUGUACCUUUUUUUUUUUAGCUUAGUGUCCUGUCAAGAGACAUCUUAAAAAAAUUCAAAACUGUCCAGUGCUAAGCAGAUUUCACUGGGGUAGUGCUGCUAGCAAGGCUGUGAAUCAGAAAAGUCUUAUUUCUUUUAUGUCUGGGGUUAGGUGAACCAUUUUUACCCCAUGGGAACAGAGAGAAGUGGAGAGUCUAAGGUGCUCUGUGCUUAGUCCUCUUAUGUGGACCAUGGCCUCCACAGCCCUGGUGGGAGCUGGAAUACCUUUCCUGAGAUACAAGGUGGAGGAUCCCAGACACUGGAAUUUAACUACCCAGCAAAGCAGACAUAAUACAAGCAUGCCAGUUGUUAAGUGUUAAUUUUGCCACUAUGGGUAUUUACAAAAAGCAAAAACAAGCACCCAUGUACAGUCACAAUCAUUUCAUAAAAGAAAGGAAUUUUUAAUACCAAAAAGUAGGACAAACAUAAUAGGAAUCUCCUUGAAGUUGAAUACAUUUAGCCUUAUGAAGAACUGAUUACAGUGUCCUUAUUUUUAAGAAUGUGCCCUGGACUGGUGAACAUGUGGUACAUGCUAGUGAUGUUUGAGAAUCAAAGCUUUGAGUCAUACAAGAACACCAAAGGUGCAGGAAAAAAACAAUGAAAAAAAAAACAUGAGUGAGAAUAAAUGAAUAAAUGAAACACAGAGAAUCCAUUAUGUCUUUUGGAUAAAAUGAUAGUUGGCCUUUGAUUUUGAUUGUUCUAUUUUGAGUCUCCAGUGCUUACCACUUGACUAAAAUGUUUCAGAAUAACAUACUUAAAAUAGUGGCAGAAAUGUGCUUUCCACUGACAAAAAGGCUAAUGAUUUUUCUUCAGUUCACAGCAAGAUGAUUUGCUCCUAGCUCAGCUGGCCUCUGCUGUCCUUACAGAGAGAGUACUUGCCGGUAGCCUGCUGGUGCUAUUUACAUGCUAAUCAUUUCUGUAAUUGAUCUUCCCAGCUCCCUUCAAAUCUUGUAAGUGACAGCUCUGAUCGCAGAGUGGGGCCACUCCAGUUGGGGGCCAGGUCACGUGGGCACUGUGGCACUGUCAGACUUUGCCCUGUAACCCCACACUGGAGAAUUCUGGUCAGUGUGCAGGUAAAAUCGUCUUUAUUAUAACACAGAGCUCAUGGUGGAGAUCAGCCAGGACUUGUUAUUGUCAAAAUGGAACAAGAGAAGUUAAUUUUUUUUCUUGCGUUAAUAGGUGGGAGUGGUACCAUUGGGCAGACAGCUGGUUUUGGGUUAUGUACUUAGAUUACAUGCCAGGAGAGGCUUCCAUCCAUGCUGGGUCACUAGCAUGUUGUGAAAGACAAGAGGAAGAGAGACAGCGACAGAGAGAAAGGUUCCUAAAUUUGGUCAAAGAUCUGAAUCCACCCCAGCUAGAAGAGCAACUGUUGUAUUUAUUAAUGGAUUAUAGAUUAAAACAAUGCCAAGGAACCACAGACAUUUCUUAUUCUUACUCUCAACUUCUCUAAAGUGGAAAUGAAAACUCAGAGAGGUUUAAUGACUUGCCCAAGGUCACAUCCUUGCAAUGGCGUCUAGAGCUGUCCUGUCCAACAUGGUAGUCAUUAGCCACAUGUGGCCAUUUAAAUUUAAAUUAAUUAAAACUUCAGUUCUUCAGUCUCACUAGCCUCCUUUCAAACACUCAAUGGCCACAUGUGCCCAGUGGCUACCAUAUUGGACAACACAGAAAUAGAACAUUUCCAUCUCUGCAGAAAGUUCUGUUAGUCAUAUUCCAGAGGCUCCUUGUCCAAGUUCUUUCCAUUAUUACAGUCAGAUUCUCCUCCCUCCCUAUGCACACAAUCUGUAUCUGUAAUUGUUGUAUAGAGUGGGAAAGGCAUAUUUUGACAUUAAUUUAGAAAUAAAAUCAAAGUCUCCUAUUCCUGCCCUCCUUUGAAAGUGGGAGCAACUUGAGUAAGCUUCCAAACCUUUCUAGGACUGGCCCUUACCUCUAAGCAAUUUUUCCCAUCACGGAAUUAUUAGAGCAUGGUUUAGCAAUGUGGUGUCUUUAACUUCAGGGUGCAGCUUUAUCUUUAAAGCUAAUAUUGAUCUAACAGUGAAUUCUUCAGAAAACCCAUAUAGCUCCUUUAGGAAAUAUUGGCCAAGGUAGUAUGGUGUCACAGAUGUCUAAGGGCUUUAAAUUAACACUGUAAAUCUCAGGAUUAUGGAGGAAGAGCUAACAACUUUAUUGAAUGUCUCCCAUCUGGCUGUGCUUCAGGCAGUGGUCUGACUGGCAGAGGGCGUGGUUCUUAUAUAAAAGCAGAAACUCUAGUAUCAGAAAGUAUUUAAUGAAGAGUUGGUUUUGGACUGAUACCCAGGGAUUCCAUUUCAAAUGGAUUUUUCUUAUUGAGACCAACAACAGGAUAUUACGCUCUUGGCACCAGUGGGACGGGACUAGCCUAGGGUGAGGAGCCCAGCUCAUCAUGGGGCAGGGCUAGAGGGGGGCUGGGCUUGGUUGGCAUCUCAGACUGGAGGAUAAUAGAUUCCCCAGUAGGAUGUGGCCUGCUGAGCAGGGCUGCCCUCAAUUCUUAGGGCAAUCAGGGUUUGCUGUUGCCUGCUGGAUGUGGGCAGCCCCGAGGCUUUGGGUGUUGAUACUAGCCUGAAGAAUUGCUUUUCUGUAAGAACUGGGAUGAUAGAACCAUGUUCUAUCUGACUGCCUUUGUCCUGUCUAUCAUUUCUUAUAGCGGGUGGCCUGGUCAGGAUAAUUGACAGUGUAUUUUCUCCCCUCAGAGCAAUGUAGAAUCCCAGUGUUAGAGAGCUGGGGGGUAUUCUGAGACGCACUAUAGGCAAUUGCACCUCAAACUGUGGUCUGUGGACCAGCAGUGGCAGCAGCAUCAUGUUGGAGCUCCGCAGUGAAGAACUCACAGUUCUGGCAUAAAGAUUAUUUGAAAGUGAAAACAUCUGAAAUCUUAUCUGAACUUUUCUAGUGAACUCAAGUAGAGCUUCUAGAGAAUACAGCUGCCAUUAACUCUCCUCUGAAGGAAUUACCUUCGAAUUCUAGGAAGGAGACAGACUGACUGCGUAUUCCCAUUAGCAUUAAAAGAACUCCAAUAGGACCUUUCAUACUUUCCCACUGAAGCUGUAAAUCCUCCCCAACCCCCACCCCAUCCCCUGCCUGCUGCUUUUUUGUUAAGUUGGUAUAUAAACUUUUACUCUGGAUAUUCAGUGAGUCAUUCAUUGCUGAGUAAAUCCCAUGUGCACUUGUUUUUCUCCUGUUAAUCUGUAUUUUGUCAGUUAAUUCACAGGCCCCUGACCACUUGAACCUAAGUUGCUAGAAGAAAACAUUUUCCUCCUAACAGUAGAAAAGCAGAAUCUUAAACUCCAUCCCAUAGGUGUUGAAUAAGAGUAGUGUAGAAUAAUAAUCAGUGUUUUAACAGUAUGUCCUGAACUGUAUGUAAAUAAUAGUUUGUGAAGCAAAGGGGUUGGCAAAUUUUCUUUGUAAAGGACAAGAUAGUAACCUUUUUAGGCAUUGUGGGUCAUUUGGUCUCUGCUGCAACUACUCAAGUCUUGCUAUUAUAGUCCAAAGGCAGUCAUAGACAGCAUUGACAUAAAUAAAUGUGACUGUUGGAAUGGUUAAUUUUAUGUGUUAACUCAGCUGGGCUAAGGGAUGCCAAAAUGCUGGUAAAACAUUAUUUCUUUAAUCUGUGUGUCUGUGACAGUGUUUCUGGAAGAGAUUAGCAGUGCAAUUGGUAGACCGAGAAAAGAAUAUUGCCCUCACCAAUGUGGGUGGGCAUUAUCCAAUCCAUCAAGGGCCGGAAUGGAACAAAAAGGUGGAGGAAGGGUGAAUUUCCUCUCUGCUUGAGCUGGAACACCCACCCAUCUUCUCCUGCCCGUGAACAUCAGCGCUCCUGGACUUGGAACAGUCUUACAUCAUUGGCUCCCUGGUUUUCAGGUCUCAGGCUUGGACUCGAACUACACCACUGUCUUUCCUGAGCUGCAGCCUCCAAAUAGCAAGCAAGUCAUGGGGCCUCUCAGCUUUCGUAAUCAUGGGGAAAUUUGGAAACAGACACAGAGGAAGAUCACUCUGAAGAUGAAGGCGGAGAUCAGAGUGAUGCCUCUACAAGCCAAGGGGUGCCGAAGAUUGCCAGCAAAUUGCCAGAUCUAGGGAGAAGCAUACAACGAAUUUUUCCUCACAGCCCACAGAGGGAGCCAACCCUGCCACAGAAACUCGGACCCGGACUGCUAGUCUCUGAACUGCAAGAUAACACAGUUCUGGUGUUUCAGUCACCCAGUUUGUGGUGCUUUUUUAUGACAGCUGUGGAAAACUAAU